AGAGUUUGAUCCUGGCUCAGAACGAACGCUGGCGGCAUGCCUAACACAUGCAAGUCGAACGAGACCUUCGGGUCUAGUGGCGCACGGGUGCGUAACGCGUGGGAAUCUGCCCUUGGGUUCGGAAUAACAGCGAGAAAUUGCUGCUAAUACCGCAUACGCCCUUCGGGGGAAAGAUUUAUCGCCGAGAGAUUAGCCCGCGUCCGAUUAGCUAGUUGGUGAGGUAAUGGCUCACCAAGGCGACGAUCGGUAGCUGGUCUGAGAGGAUGAUCAGCCACACUGGGACUGAGACACGGCCCAGACUCCUACGGGAGGCAGCAGGUGGGGAAUAUUGGACAAGUGGGGGCAACCCUGAUCCAGCCAUGCCGCGUGAGUGAUGAAGGCCUUAGGGUUAGUAAAGCUCUUCGACGGGGACGAUGAUGACGGUACCCGUAGAAGAAGCCCCGGCUAACUUCGUG
rnacentral:rRNA from 1 species